rnacentral:rRNA from 1 species
GACGUAGGGCGCGAGCGUUGUCCGGAUUUAUUGGGCGUAAAGAGCUCGUAGGUGGUUUGUCGCGUUGUUCGUGAAAACUCACAGCUUAACUGUGGGCGUGCGGGCGAUACGGGCAGACUGGAGUACUGCAGGGGAGACUGGAAUUCCUGGUGUAGCGGUGGAAUGCGCAGAUAUCAGGAGGAACACCGGUGGCGAAGGCGGGUCUCUGGGCAACAACUGACGCUGAGGAGCGAAAGCGUGGGGAGCGAACAGG